rnacentral:lncRNA from 1 species
CGACCUAGCACACAGCCUGGAACACGUGCGUGUGUGGCAAUUUUGAAGGGCAUAUGGGCUAGUCACACGGGCAUGUGUGUGUUGGCCAUGUGACCCAAGCUAAAGAGUUACACGGAGUCGAACACGGGCUGAGACACAACCAUGUGAUCCCACUGCGAAUGUCCACAUGUCUGGGCCACACGGGCGUGUGUCCUCUAUAUUUUGUAAAAUUUUCUAAGCAUUCCAAAAAUUUCCUGAGUUAUUGGUUA